GGCCAGCAGCCGCGGUAAAACGUAGGAGGCAAGCGUUAUCCGAAUUUACUGGGCGUAAAGCGUGUGCAGGCGGUUCGGUAAGUUGGGUGUGAAAUCUCCCGGCUCAACUGGGAGAGGUCGCUCAAGACUGCCGGACUGGAGGGCGGUAGAGGGAGGUGGAAUUCCGGGUGUAGUGGUGAAAUGCGUAGAUAUCCGGAGGAACACCUGUGGCGAAAGCGGCCUCCUGGACCGUACCUGACGCUGAGACACGAAAGCUAGGGGAGCGAACGGGAUUAGAAACCCCGGUAGUCCUAGCUGUAAACGAUGUGGACUGGGUGUCGGUGGGGUAAAAGCCAUCGGUGCCGAAGCCAACGCGAUAAGUCCACCGCCUGGGGACUACGGCCGCAAGGUUAAAACUCAAAGGAAUUGACGGGGGCCCGCACA
rnacentral:rRNA from 1 species